rnacentral:rRNA from 1 species
AGAGUUUGAUCCUGGCUCAGGAUGAACGCUAGCUACAGGCUUAACACAUGCAAGUCGAGGGGCAUCAGGAAGAAAGCUUGCUUUCUUUGCUGGCGACCGGCGCACGGGUGAGUAACACGUAUCCAACCUGCCCUUUACUCGGGGAUAGCCUUUCGAAAGAAAGAUUAAUACCCGAUGGCAUAAUGAUUCCGCAUGGUUUCAUUAUUAAAGGAUUCCGGUAAAGGAUGGGGAUGCGUUCCAUUAGGUUGUUGGUGAGGUAACGGCUCACCAAGCCUUCGAUGGAUAGGGGUUCUGAGAGGAAGGUCCCCCACAUUGGAACUGAGACACGGUCCAAACUCCUACGGGAGGCAGCAGUGAGGAAUAUUGGUCAAUGGGCGCUAGCCUGAACCAGCCAAGUAGCGUGAAGGAUGAAGGCUCUAUGGGUCGUAAACUUCUUUUAUAUAAGAAUAAAGUGCAGUAUGUAUACUGUUUUGUAUGUAUUAUAUGAAUAAGGAUCGGCUAACUCCGUGCCAGCAGCCGCGGUAAUACGGAGGAUCCGAGCGUUAUCCGGAUUUAUUGGGUUUAAAGGGAGCGUAGGUGGACUGGUAAGUCAGUUGUGAAAGUUUGCGGCUCAACCGUAAAAUUGCAGUUGAUACUGUCAGUCUUGAGUACAGUAGAGGUGGGCGGAAUUCGUGGUGUAGCGGUGAAAUGCUUAGAUAUCACGAAGAACUCCGAUUGCGAAGGCAGCUCACUGGACUGCAACUGACACUGAUGCUCGAAAGUGUGGGUAUCAAACAGGAUUAGAUACCCUGGUAGUCCACACAGUAAACGAUGAAUACUCGCUGUUUGCGAUAUACAGUAAGCGGCCAAGCGAAAGCAUUAAGUAUUCCACCUGGGGAGUACGCCGGCAACGGUGAAACUCAAAGGAAUUGACGGGGGCCCGCACAAGCGGAGGAACAUGUGGUUUAAUUCGAUGAUACGCGAGGAACCUUACCCGGGCUUAAAUUGCAGUGGAAUGAUGUGGAAACAUGUCAGUGAGCAAUCACCGCUGUGAAGGUGCUGCAUGGUUGUCGUCAGCUCGUGCCGUGAGGUGUCGGCUUAAGUGCCAUAACGAGCGCAACCCUUAUCUUUAGUUACUAACAGGUUAUGCUGAGGACUCUAGAGAGACUGCCGUCGUAAGAUGUGAGGAAGGUGGGGAUGACGUCAAAUCAGCACGGCCCUUACGUCCGGGGCUACACACGUGUUACAAUGGGGGGUACAGAAGGCAGCUAGCGGGUGACCGUAUGCUAAUCCCAAAAGCCUCUCUCAGUUCGGAUCGAAGUCUGCAACCCGACUUCGUGAAGCUGGAUUCGCUAGUAAUCGCGCAUCAGCCACGGCGCGGUGAAUACGUUCCCGGGCCUUGUACACACCGCCCGUCAAGCCAUGAAAGCCGGGGGUACCUGAAGUACGUAACCGCAAGGAGCGUCCUAGGGUAAAACUGGUAAUUGGGGCUAAGUCGUAACAAGGUAGCCGUACCGGAAGGUGCGGCUG